CCCUUAGAUGCUCUGGGCCGCACGCGCGCUACACUGAUGCAUUCAACGAGUCUAAAACCUGCUCUGAUAGGGGUGGGUAAUCUUUUGAAUGUGCAUCGUGAUUGGGAUAGAUGAUUGCAAUUUUUCAUCUUCAACGAGGAAUGCCUAGUAAACGCAAGUCAUCAGCUUGCAUUGAUUACGUCCCUGCCCUUUGUACACACCGCCCGUCGCUCCUACCGAUUGAAUGAUCCGAUGAAUAUCAUGGAUUGAGGAUGCAAGCAGGUUCGCCUGUCUUCAUCUUCGAGAAGUGAAGUAAAUCUUAUCAUUUAGAGGAAGGAGAAGUCGUAACA
rnacentral:rRNA from 1 species